rnacentral:rRNA from 1 species
GCAAGGUCGAGCGAAUCGAUGGGAGCUUGCUCCCUGUAGAUUAGCGGGCGGACGGGUGAGUAACACGUGGGCAACCUGCCUAUAAGACUGGGAUAACUUCGGGAAACCGGAGCUAAUACCGGAUACGUUCUUUUCUCGCAUGAGAGAAGAUGGAAAGACGGUUUACGCUGUCACUUAUAGAUGGGCCCGCGGCGCAUUAGCUAGUUGGUGAGGUAAUGGCUCACCAAGGCGACGAUGCGUAGCCGANCUGAGAGGGUGAUCA